UCGCAGAUCAGAAUGCUGCGGUGAAUACGUUCCCGGGUCUUGUACACACCGCCCGUCACACCAUGGGAGUUGGAAAUGCCCGAAGUCAGUGACCGAACCGAAAGGAAGGAGCUGCCGAAGGUGGAGCCGAUGACUGGGGUGAAGUCGUAACAAGGUAGC
rnacentral:rRNA from 1 species